rnacentral:tRNA from 1 species
GGCGCGUUCGUCUAGAGGCCUAGGAUAUCGGGUUUUCAUCCCGGAGAUCAGGGGUUCGAAUCCCCUACGCGCUACCA